rnacentral:lncRNA from 1 species
GUGUUGUAGUUGUUGUAGGAGCUACAGUUGUCAUUGUAGUAGUAGGUACUGCUGUUGUAAUGGUCGUAGUAGGUGUUGUGGUUGUCGAUGGAGCUUCAGUUGUCGUUCUAGGUGCUUCUGUUGUGGUCAUAGGAUAUACAGUUGUUGUAAUAGGAGCUGCAGUUGUCGUUGUCGUAGGAGCUGCAUUUGUAGUUGUCGUAGAAGGUGCUUCAGUUAUAGAAGUCGUAGGAGCUACAGUUGUUGUAGUAGAAGCUGCAGUGGUUGUCGAAUUAGGUGCUGCAGGUGUAGUGGUCCUAGGAGCUACAGUUGUUGUUGUUGUAGUAGGUGUUGUAGUUGUUGUAGGAGCUACAGUUGUCAUUGUGGUAGUAGGUGCUGCAGUUGUAGUGGUAGUAGAAUAUGUAGUUGUCGUAGAAGCUACAGUUGUUGUUGUAGGUGCUACUGUUAUGGUUGUCGUAGGAGGUUCAGUUGUCGUUGUAGGUGCUUCUGUUGUGGUCAUAGGAUAUACAGUUGUUGUAAUAGGAGCUGCAGUUGUCGUUGUCGUAGGAGCUGCAUUUGUAGUUGUCGUAGAAGGUGCUUCAGUUAUAGAAGUCGUAGGAGCUACAGUUGUUGUAGUAGAAGCUGCAGUGGUUGUCGAAUUAGGUGCUGCAGGUGUAGUGGUCCUAGGAGCUACAGUUGUUGUUGUUGUAGUAGGUGUUGUAGUUGUUGUAGGAGCUACAGUUGUCAUUGUGGUAGUAGGUGCUGCAGUUGUAGUGGUAGUAGAAUAUGUAGUUGUCGUAGAAGCUACAGUUGUUGUUGUAGGUGCUGCUGUUGUGGUUGUCGUAGGAGGUUCAGUUGUCGUUGUAGGUGCUUCCGUUGUGGUCGUAGGAUCUAAAAUUGUUGUAGUAGGAA